UACGAAGGGGGCUAGCGUUGUUCGGAAUCACUGGGCGUAAAGGGUGCGUAGGCGGGUCUUUUAAGUCAGGGGUGAAAUCCUGGAGCUCAACUCCAGAACUGCCUUUGAUACUGAGGAUCUUGAGUUCGGGAGAGGUGAGUGGAACUGCGAGUGUAGAGGUGAAAUUCGUAGAUAUUCGCAAGAACACCAGUGGCGAAGGCGGCUCACUGGCCCGAUACUGACGCUGAGGCACGAAAGCGUGGGGAGCAAACAGGG
rnacentral:rRNA from 1 species